rnacentral:rRNA from 1 species
CUACGGGAGGCAGCAGUGGGGAAUUUUGGACAAUGGGGGCGACCCUGAUCCAGCCAUGCCGCGUGCGGGAAGAAGGCCUUCGGGUUGUAAACCGCUUUCGGACGGAAAGAAAUCGUCUUGGUUAAUACCCAGGAUGGAUGACGGUACCGUAAGAAGAAGCACCGGCUAACUACGUGCCAGCAGCCGCGGUAAUACGUAGGGUGCGAGCGUUAAUCGGAAUUACUGGGCGUAAAGCGUGCGCAGGCGGCUUUUUAAGCCAGAUGUGAAAUCCCCGGGCUUAACCUGGGAACUGCAUUUGGAACUGGAAGGCUAGAGUGUGUCCGAGGGAGGUGGAAUUCCACGUGUAGCAGUGGAAUGCGUAGAGAUGUGGAGGAACACCGAUGGCGAAGGCAGCCUCCUGGGAUAACACUGACGCUCAUGCACGAAAGCGUGGGGAGCAAACAGGAUUAGAAACCCUUGUAGUCC